rnacentral:rRNA from 1 species
CCCUAUGGGGUGCAGCAGGCAGAAAGGGUACGGUCGGGUUCUUCGAUACCUCUGUCCCGAACAACCGGUUCUACACAUACCAGAAUUUCGUUUUCCCCGCCGAUUCGUCGAUCGACUACCAUGCCAUGGCGGCGGACAGCGGCGCGACCCUCACGAUCGGCGGCGGCUCCGUCGUCAACCUGGCGGACAGCCUCACGGUCACGGGAGAUUCCACGAUCGUCCUGGAGGGCAAGAACAUAUCCUCUGAGAUAGACGGCACGUGGCAGGGUACGGGUGUGACGAUCAACACCGUCGACCUUGCAGUCGAGGCAGGAAGCACGAUCACGGCGGAUGGGAAAGGGUAUGCAGGCGGGGGGGC